GACGAACGCUGGCGGCGUGCUUAACACAUGCAAGUCGAGCGGUAAGGCCCCUUCGGGGGUACGACGAGCGGCGAACGGGUGAGUAACACGUGGGUGACCUGCCCUCAGCUCUGGGAUAAGCCUGGGAAACUGGGUCUAAUACCGGAUAUGACUCCAUGACGCAUGUCGUGGGGUGGAAAGCCUUGUGCGGCUGGGGAUGGGCCCGCGGCCUAUCAGCUUGUUGGUGGGGUGAUGGCCUACCAAGGCGACGACGGGUAGCCGGCCUGAGAGGGCGACCGGCCACACUGGGACUGAGACACGGCCCAGACUCCUACGGGAGGCAGCAGUGGGGAAUCUUGCGCAAUGGGCGAAAGCCUGACGCAGCGACGCCGCGUGAGGGAUGACGGCCUCGG
rnacentral:rRNA from 1 species